UACGGGGGGUGCAAACGUUGCUCGGAAUUAUUGGGCGUAAAGCGCACGUAGGCGGUCCUGUAAGUCGGGUGUGAAAGCCCCAGGCUUAACCUGGGAAGUGCACUCGAAACUGUAGGGCUUGAGUAUGGAAGAGGGUCUCGGAAUUCCCGGUGUAGAGGUGAAAUUCGUAGAUAUCGGGAGGAACACCAGUGGCGAAGGCGGAGACCUGGGCCAAUACUGACGCUGAGGUGCGAAAGCGUGGGGAGCAAAC
rnacentral:rRNA from 1 species